UCUUUUGCUGCUAUUCUAGUAAGAUGGUUCUUUCUGGGGGAUCCCCUCAUACUUUGCUAGCAGUAUUACAGCCUGGGGUUCAGCAGACCCUUUGCUCGCGGCCGUCCGGGUGAGGAAGACAGCGUCAGUAAGCGACGCUGCCGAAGAGAGCUCAAUAAGUAAGCCGCCUAUACCCUGGGGCCUGAAUAGAUUCUUUAAGCAGUUAGCAGGACAGAUUUAGCUGACUGGAAAGGGGGCAAUUAGGGCAUCAGAAUUAAUUUGAGUUAGUUCUACUCCAUUUGGCAUCACACAACAUCCACGACAUGAGCGGGGGACGGCCAUGCUCAGAGUUUGAUCAUGGCUCAGAUUGAACGCUGGCGGCAUGCCUUACACAUGCAAGUCGAACGGCAGCACGGAGCUUGCUCUGGUGGCGAGUGGCGAACGGGUGAGUAAUAUAUCGGAACGUACCCAAGAGUGGGGGAUAACGUAGCGAAAGUUACGCUAAUACCGCAUACGAUCUAAGGAUGAAAGCAGGGGACCGCAAGGCCUUGUGCUCCUGGAGCGGCCGAUAUCUGAUUAGCUAGUUGGUGGGGUAAAGGCCCACCAAGGCAUCGAUCAGUAGCUGGUCUGAGAGGACGACCAGCCACACUGGAACUGAGACACGGUCCAGACUCCUACGGGAGGCAGCAGUGGGGAAUUUUGGACAAUGGGGGCAACCCUGUUCCAGCAAUGCCGCGUGAGUGAAGAAGGCCUUCGGGUUGUUGGCUCUUUUGUCAGGGAAGAAAAGGGUCUGGCUAAUAUCCGGGCCUCAUGACGGUACCGAAGAAUAGCACGCACUCAAAACAU
rnacentral:rRNA from 1 species